ACAGAAAUUCUCAAUGGAGGGGUGUACGUGGACCAGAACAAGUUCCUGUGUCAUGCCGAUACUAUCCACUGGCAGGAUAUAGUGAAGACCGCUCGCCCUGAUCACCUGGUUGUGCCGUCCAAUAGCAGCAGCUCAUGUCAGAGGUGUCAUAGAGGCUGUAAUGGGCGCUGUUGGGGGCCGAAAGAAGACCAGUGUCAGAGCUUGACGAAGACGGUGUGCGCCGAGCAGUGCGAUGGCCGAUGUUUUGGGCCGUACGUCAGUGACUGCUGUCAUCGCGAGUGUGCUGGAGGCUGUUCAGGACCAAAGGAUACGGACUGCUUCGUAUG